GCUAGAACCGAGCGUUACAUGCGGCUAAUGCUACAGCUAACAGGAGGACGUAGGAGAAGCUGCGUUUCCACGGACUUUGAAUUUUUGCACAUAGAUGUGCCUAAACAUGCACAGGACACUUGGAAAACACACUAAAGAGCAUAUAAAACCAGAAAAAGCAGAAUAUGGGACCUUUAAAGGAGAAAUAAACAUGUUACAGCCUGGAAAUUGACCAGAUUUGUUGUCGAGUUUCACAUCAGUUAAAUGAUGAUAAAGCUUUGUAAUUCGUAUGAAUAAUCUAAAGUUUGAUAACGAAGCAUUUGCUAAACCCUCAUUCCUUCCAGCUUCCCCUGGAGUCCUAAAGAAACAGAAAACCAAGAAACCAGAUAUUGAUGGAGAAAGUUCCAAACUCGAGGCUUCAAAACAUCGGUCCAGGAACUACAUUUGUUAGCUAGCUGUCCCAGGACAUUGUAAGAUUCUUAGUGUUUUACUGCCACCUACUGGCUAUCAGUGGAACAGCAUGUUGACAGUAGCAGAAAUGUUUCAAACAUGCACGAGAUGCUAACAAUAACGUCACGCUGUAAUAUGUUUCUCCAUCGUGGUCAUGUAGCGAUAAACUCCACAGGGUACCUUUGACCUGAUUACUCGCCCAAUGACGCGCUGACAUUAAACAAUUUUUUAUGAGUGAAUUAAAAACAUGCACUUUAAAAACUUGGAUUUUGGAAUUUGUCAGUAAAUUCCAUUUAAUCCUUGAAAAAGAUUACAUUUGGAUGUUCGUGCAAUCUUCAAAAUUCUGUGCAAAAUUUCCUGCACAGCCAACCGAACCAAACUUAGCGAGUGUGAAGGUGAGGCGUUGGUGAAAGGAGAAGAGUUGUGCGGUGUGUGAAUCGUUGCCAUACAGACGAUCCUGUUUGAGAUUAUAACCGUUUUAAAGAUGUAGACCUGUGCUUUAGCUGUGUAGAUGACGUUAGCCGCCGUUAGCUGUAGGAUGUUGAAUAGUGUCAUAACUUUUGGAGAGUUGUUGGUUGUACAUAUUGUCGUGAGCAGUUCUGUGUUUGUACUGUUAGCAGAGCAUCAAUAUGCUCCAUAUUAAUCUUUACUCUUUAGUGUGUGUGUGUGUGUUUACACUCUUCACUCGCUCUUUUUACACUUUGUAACUGACUUGACUUUUGCUAAAAACUUUGCUUACCUUUUUGUAGAUAGCUAGAGCUUCCUGUUGAGUGAGCUUGUGCCGUACAGCCGGUUGGACUCGUGGAGUCUUGAUGAUCCUGAGUGAGAAAGCUUUGAUUUGGAGACCUGGGCUGAUUCUGAAAUCAUUCACUGUGUUCGUUAUUGUCUGAUAUCAUGUCUGUCUGUCGUUUAUGGCACUACUCCACAACUCCAUGUAGCAGACUCAAAGGAUUCUGCAAUGAACAUGGCGUGUUAUGCAAUGAUCCAGUAGUAAUGCAUGUGCUGUUGUUGUAAAGAGGCAUCCAUUUACCAGCUGAUCUAUGUUACAACCCUCACCUGUAGUCACAGCUUUGGAAAGCUAUCAAAAGAGUGAGAUGACGGGUACAAGCAGCUGAAAUGGGCACUAGAGAGAGGGUAAGGAGUUCAGACAUCCGAGAGGAGCCCAGAGUAGAGCCGCUGCUCCUUCAUAUGGGAAGGGGCCAGUUAAGGAUUUUCAGGCAUCAGAACAGGAUCCUCCUGGACGCCUCCCUCUGGAGGUUUUUGUCCAACUGGGAGGAGCCCCCAGGGUAGACUUCCCCCCGGGGGAGAUUAUAUAUCCCAUCUGGCCUGGAAACACUUCCAAUUCCAAUUAUUCUACUGUAGCUGGAAACAUUGCUGAGGAGAGAGACAUCUGUGACUCUACCCUGGAUAGGCAGAAGAAAAUGGAUGGAUGUCAUGUAUGUUGGAAGGUAGUUACAGGAAAGGUGUGAACUUCAUCUGACAAGUUUCCCUAUUCCAGUUAUGACCUCCGGCCCUAUAAACGAUUCUCGCCCUCCAUGAUGUGGUUUCUGCCGGGGCUUGUACCUGCAGUUUUUCUCUUGAAACAUGGCUGGAUCUUUGGUGAUAAUUGGACUCUGCCCUGUUGUUGCCUUGAACUCUGAUUCCUCUUUAAAAAAAACACUGAACACCAGAGGGCUCAGGCUUCUCUUAGAUGUGAAGAGCAACGAUAGUUUAGGAAGCAUCACGUGACAGGAUUGUUGCAGUAUUCAGCACUUUCAUUGUGGGAUGCAAACCAAACACCACCAUUGGUAUUGAGUAGUGUGACAGAUCAGUCUGUAUCUGCAGAGUGAACCUGUGAAUGAUUCUGGAUCUUUGCUCGUUGGUUGAUUGAGUUUAAUCUCUUGUUGUCGCGUGUUGUCGCAGAUACUGAGGGAGGAGUAUGUGUUGUAUGAGCUGUAAAUGGUGUUCAGGGCCUAUCAAAAGACAACAUGCUGCACAGUCCUACUUGAAUACCACCCCCUGGUCUCCUCUAUGUUGCCUUGGAAAAGCAACCGCUUCUACCCAUGAUCCUUUUUGCCACUCCUCCUCUCAAAGUCCUCAAAAGCUCCAGCUGUCAGUCAGUCGUCUUACAGUACUGAUCUCAGAGGCUGGUUCCACAGAUCCUGUUCCCUCCUGUCUACCUGAGUAGCGGAUGGAUUAUAGACUAUGCACUGAUUCGAGUCAAACACAAGAGCUACAAAGUCUUUCCCUUUAGCUCGCUAGUAUGCAAGCUGCAAAGGAAAACUGCAUGCCGUUCCAUUUGCAUGUUCCCUAGAUUGAUAUUUGCCUGAAUUUAUAGCAGAAAAAGUUGACCUGUUCUGACUGAUUGUCUGGUUUGGACCACUGCUUACCGCUUUUUCAUGUUUACACUGAAGCGUCUACUUUAGACAUAUAUCAAUGGCAUCUUCAUAUUUGUUAGCAAACUCAGACUGGAUGCAUCGCGCUGGAUUUUCCAACGUACAAUUCCAGCUAUAAAGGCCGCUCAAUCACACUUUUACAAGUGUGCAAACUUAAAAUCAGAUACCCAGUGUAAUGUGUCAAAACUCUUUGAGUUUUGGAAUGAUCAGUCUGAUAGAUCUUUUUGAAACCAGCCCCUCAGAGAUCAGUUGUAAACCCUGAAACAUCAUUCUGUACUUGGCAAAAGUGACCAAUGGUGUUCAGUCUCAACAACCACAGAAGGAAACUUCUGGAGAAGCUGAAAUCAAAGACUGUUCUUCUUUGAGUAACCCAACGUCUUGUCGAGCCGCUGUUUGAACUGGACUCGUGUCUGAGAAUUCGGGACGAUGAGAGGUUGGAGUGACGAGAGGAUCUGCUCACCUUUUAAGAGUUCUGCAUGAAAACCCUUGCCCUGUCAGCUGUACUUUCAAGGUGCUCCUCUCUUUGCCUUAUAACUGCACCGUCCCACAGAGGGCGACCACAGUACCCAUUGUUCACCUGUAGCUGCACCUGAGCUGGAGCGCCACCCACGACUUUCAGCUCCUCUAGACGGGUUUGUUGGAGGAACUGGUGGAGUGAAAGGUGUGGGCGUGUGGUCGAGCUCAGUCUGUGAGCUGAACUUCACACAAAUCAAACACUAAUUACAAACCUUUCAGUUUAAUGAAUGUAUUAAAUAUCCAGCAAAAACCUUUGGCUUGUAGCAAAAAUAAAAAUUCACCAAAGAUGUUGCAUCGAUGGAGAUUGACUUUGCCUUUUUGUAUUUGGAUUGGAUAUCUGUUUGUAAGGACAAGGAGUAAAUUAGGCCUUAAAUCUGAAUGUGUUUGGCACAUAUGAAUAAGUUUGAUGUUUGGAUGAACACCUGAUGGAUAAACGUAAAGCGUUAGAAUGUUUUUACGUCCAGGAACAGAUGAACAAGUGCACCGGAUAUCUUAGAAAGACUCACCUGUACAAUAACCACUUAGAAACACACUGUGUCACUUACUGGUGACACUUUGGAUGUUUAUGCUGCUCUCAGAUUCACUGUGGAAACUCAUCCUGGUACAUGCUAACCUGACCAUACAGAACUGUGCAGGUGUGUCCAGGUGUUUGUGUACCUGUAGAUUGCUGACAUGUUCUGUAAAGGGCUUGAGAUGCUAGAUUCUCUUGUGGUGACGGUUUACGCCAUUGGUCUGGGUUUUGGGAGCGUGAAAGGUUUAAAAAGCAACAGCGGUGUCACUUGACAAGUUUUAGGUCCCAUAAAGGUUUGUGGCAUUUUACUGAGCGUGCUCAAGGCUAACCAAACAAUGAGACUCCUGAUCGCUUUUUCACACAGUACAAUCAGUGGCAGCUGAUAUCUGCCAACCCAAUUUGGUAAACGUGAGUUUGUCAGAUUACCCCAAAAAAGGUUUUUUCAAAGAGCAAAGACCAAACUGUCUGCCGACACAGUGAUUGUGCAGCAGCAGCUUUCUGGGCUAGUUAGCCAACGCCAAAUUCCUCGGCAUGACAUCAUUAGAAGCUAAAACUUAAUAUUUAUAUUCUCCUUGAACUAGAGGUCAGUUCGUUUAUUGCUGAUGUGAGAGCAGAUUCACAAUAUUCUUUACCAUUAGACCCACCCCUAAAUUCUAAAAACGUUUUUGAUUGGCCCACGAUUGAUCUAUAGGGGUAACCUUACAUUCUGCACGCCAUGUGCACAAUCAGUUGACACAACAAUUAAAGAUUGUGACCUGCAGACGUGGGAACCAGAUUAACUGGUCAGUUAAACUUGUUUUAUUAAAGUGAGUCGACAAUGCUGGUUAAAUGUUGUCUAAACUGUAACGCUGCCAUCCGCCACUAGAUGGGGCUAUAGCUCCAGUCAGUAACUACAGUGAACCAAUUUGGCGUUGUUUACCCGAAGAUUAAUCAGCACGUCACAGACUUUAAGAAGUGGGGGUGGACAAAGUUAUGUCACCAAUCACUUGCGGGUUAACAGUCGUAUCUGUAAGUCAUCUAACAAUCAGCUACAAAAGCGGCUAGCUGUCGAUGAUAUUUAGCCUGUUAGCAUGUUUUUAAAGUGUCUCCAGACUCUUUAUGGGACUUUUAGUUCGAAGUCAGACAGCUGUGCCUGACUUCUGCUUUGGUGGAUGUGUUCACAUGACCCCUGACCUCCUGUCACUGUGUCAGACAGCCAGCUCAGACCUUGAAGCAUGUGAUCUGUGUGAGCUAACUGUCUGAGGUGUGGCCCUGCAGGGAGCUAGCUGUCUGAGGUGUGGCCCUGCAGGGAGCUAGCUGUCUGAGGUGUGGCUCUGCAGGGAGCUCUGCAGAGCUGCAUACAACACAUACACAUCUUGAUGUGGUCCCACAGUAUCCUGUCCUCACUCACUAGUUGAUGCAUGCUUUUCUCUACAUUCUGUAUUGACACUCUUUCUGACUACUGAAUGUUGGACAGUUUUCUCUGCUGGAGGUAAUCAUAGUGAUCUCUGCUCUCUGUAUUAUUAUUAUGACUUAUAUAUCACUCUCUGGAAACAUGUUAACGAUACUUGUUACUAAUAUGAACCAAUAAAAUAACUUGAAAAGACAA